UGAGGAAUCUUGGACAAUGGGCGCAAGCCUGAUCCAGCCAUGCCGCGUGAGUGAAGAAGGCCUUCGGGUUGUAAAGCUCUUUUACCAGGGACGAUAAUGACGGUACCUGGAGAAUAAGCCCCGGCAAACUUCGUGCCAGCAGCCGCGGUAAUACGAAGGGGGCUAGCGUUGUUCGGAAUUACUGGGCGUAAAGCGCACGUAGGCGGAUUGUUAAGUCAGAGGUGAAAUCCCGGAGCUCAACUUCGGAACUGCCUUUGAUACUGGCAAUCUAGAGUCCGGAAGAGGUUAGUGGAAUUCCCAGUGUAGAGGUGAAAUUCGUAGAUAUUAGGAAGAACACCAGUGGCGAAGGCGGCUCACUGGCCCGGUACUGACGCUGAGGUGUGAAAGCGUGGGGAGCAAACAGGAUUAGAUACCCUACGUAGUCCCUGAGCGGGCUGGCAAGGCGCAU
rnacentral:rRNA from 1 species